rnacentral:rRNA from 1 species
GGGUUCGAUUCCGGAGAGGGAGCCUGAGAAACGGCUACCACAUCCAAGGAAGGCAGCAGGCGCGCAAAUUACCCAAUCCCGACACGGGGAGGUAGUGACAAUAAAUAACAAUACGGGGCUCUUUCGGGUCUCGUAAUUGGAAUGAGUACAAUUUAAAUCCCUUAACGAGGAACAAUUGGAGGGCAAGUCUGGUGCCAGCAGCCGCGGUAAUUCCAGCUCCAAUAGCGUAUAUUAAAGUUGUUGCAGUUAAAAAGCUCGUAGUUGAAUUUCGGGAUUGACACAUCGGUCGUGCCUUAAGGGGUAUGAACUGGUGUAGUCAAUUUCUCACCUUCUGGAGAACCGCGAUGCCCUUAAUUGGGUGUCACGGGGAACCAGGACCUUUACUUUGAAAAAAUUAGAGUGUUUAAAGCAGGCAUUUUGCUUGAAUACAUUAGCAUGGAAUAAUAAAAUAGGACGGCAUGAUUCUAUUUUGUUGGUUUCUAGGAUCACCGUAAUGAUUAAUAGGGAUAGUUGGGGGCAUUAGUAUUCAAUUGUCAGAGGUGAAAUUCUUGGAUUUAUUGAAGACUAACUACUGCGAAAGCAUUUGCCAAGGAUGUUUUCAUUAAUCAAGAACGAAAGUUAGGGGAUCGAAGACGAUCAGAUACCGUCGUAGUCUUAACCAUAAGCUAUGCCGACUAGGAAUCAGACGAUGUUAAUUUUUUAAUGACUCGUUUGGCACCUUAC